rnacentral:rRNA from 1 species
UACGUAGGGGGCAAGCGUUGUUCGGAAUUACUGGGCGUAAAGGGCGCGUAGGCGGCCCAGCAAGUCGGGCGUGAAAGCCCGGGGCUCAACCCCGGAAUGGCUUUCGAAACUGCUGAGCUAGAGUACAGAAGGGGCAACCGGAAUUCCCAGUGUAGCGGUGAAAUGCGUAGAUAUUGGGAAGAACACCUGAGGCGAAGGCGGGUUGCUGGGCUGAUACUGACGCUGAGGCGCGAAAGCGUGGGGAGCAAACAGG